rnacentral:piRNA from 1 species
UUGCCAACUGAAAAGGAAUUUGCCAAU